UUCGGGCGGAAGAUGAUUAACUUAGCGGCGGAUGGGUGAGUAACGCGUGGGCAACCUGCCUCGAAGACCGGGAUAACAGUUCGAAAGGGCUGCUAAUACCGGAUGUGGUCAAGUGUCAGCAUGGGCAUUUGAUUAAAGGGGAAACCCGUUUCGAGAUGGGCCCGCGUCCUAUCAGCUAGUUGGUGAGGUAAAGGCUCACCAAGGCAAUGACGGGUAGCCGGCCUGAGAGGGUGACCGGCCACACUGGAACUGAGACACGGUCCAGACUCCUACGGGGGGCAGCAGUGGGGAAUCUUCCACAAUGGGCGAAAGCCUGAUGGAGCGACGCCGCGUGAGCGAAGAAGGCCUUCGGGUUGUAAAGCUCUGUCUGGAGGGACGAAGAAAGUGACGGUACCUCCGGAGGAAGCCACGGCUAACUACGUGCCAGCAGCCGCGGUAAUACGUAGGUGGCGAGCGUUGUCCGGAAUCACUGGGCGUAAAGGGCGCGCAGGCGGCGUGUCAAGUCGGACGUGAAAACCCCUGGCUCAACUGGGGG
rnacentral:rRNA from 1 species